rnacentral:lncRNA from 1 species
UUCUCGACAGAAUUAACCCGACAGCAUCUGUGGAAGUCGUUGGCCCCGAGCCUGGGCCGGAUCGCGUCCGGCGCGGGCAGGGACACAACUAGGCAGCGGGGGCCCUUCACGUGGCAGAGGCGUCCUGGCCUGGGGCCGGCGAGCCCGGAGGAAUUUGUCUGGAACUUUUCCACCGAGGCAGAGCCUCCUGGAGCUCGCUCUGGGCUCGGCGAGGGGAGCCCCGGCCUUGAUUUCUCCCGCAGCCCCGCGGGGCGGAGCCGGGAAGGGGCGGGCAGGCUGAGGACACUGGCGGGAGAAUGUUCGGAAUGUGCCAGGCGCAUCUACCUACCCCAGGAGAGGGCAGAGGAAGGGGGCCGGCCGAGGGGAGGGGCGAGGGGCGAGGCUCCCGGCGGCCGGAGAAAACCUGUUUGUUCUCCUGCGGGCGGAGCCCAGUCCGCGCCUCCUUACCUCCCUGAGAGCUCCCUGCUGAGCCCCGUGCCCCGCGCCCGCCGCCCCGGCCCGGCCGGGCGCUGCCCACGCGAGGGAGCCCGCACCCCGCACCCACCAGACCCUCCUCUUACCCCACGGACCAGGCACCUGUGCCAGGACCUCUACUGCCUCAUCUGAAAAACCAAGAGCAGCUGAAAGCCCAGGACACAGAUGCACAGAUCAGCGGCCGGCUUCCUGGGGGCCUGGGUGCUUGUGUGGUUCCCCUCAUCACCUUUGAGUCACUCCAGGAAGGGAAGGAGCACAGUCAUCUCACUUGCCCAACCCCCUCCAUCUAUCAAGUCUCAGCCUCUGGCUAGGGGCUCUGCUCAGCUGCACACAGCAGGUGAUCUGUUCCUUUUCACCCUGUGGAUGGUCAUAUGGGUCAGAGAGAGGAGGCACAAGCCCACAUAGGGUGCUGCAGCUCUGCAUACAAACCUCCGGGGAGCGGGAAAGCACCUGUAGCUGUGAAGCUCAGGGAAGGCUUUCUGGAGGGGUGGGGAUGAGAAGCAGGAGCCUGUUGGGUUGCCUGACUCUGCCUCCUCCUGCUCUACCAAAGACCCCACUAUGUAUGUUGCACCCAGAGGCAGGCAGUGAGUAGUCAAAGAGAAAGCAGCCCCCCGCCCCGCCUCGAGGAGUGGCAGUCUGCCUGAGGACACGGCUAGGCCACUCAGUAAGGAGCUGCCCUCUGAAUUGAAAUGG